rnacentral:lncRNA from 1 species
CUAGCCGAGCUCGAACACUUAGAGAAAUUCGUCGGAAAGGAUUCAACUCAGAUGAUUAAAGUAAAGGCUUACCCAUUACGCGAGAAAGAGAAAAGUAGACAUGAAUUUACAAAGGGAGUUCUUUCAUUGAUAAAAGUCCGAAGGCUGAAAUACAAAAUUGAGGACUGGCCGUACGACAAGUUUGGAGGCCGACCUCGCUUACAAAAAAAAAAAAA